rnacentral:misc_RNA from 1 species
GAUGAAGAACGUAGCGAAAUGCGAUACUUGGUGUGAAUUGCAGAAUCCCGUGAACCAUCGAGUCUUUGAACGCAAGUUGCGCCCGAAGCCGUCAGGCCGAGGGCACGCCUGCCUGGGCGUCACACGCCGUUGCCCCCCCCGCGCCCCGCACCCAACUCUUUGGGAGCGACCGCGGGGCGGGCUGAUGAUGGCCUCCCGUGCGCUCCGCCGCGCGGUUGGCCCAAAUACCGAGUCCCCGGCGACGUGCGCCACGACGAUCGGUGGUUGAGAGACCUCUGUCGCAAGUCGUGCGCGCCCGUCGCGUCACGCGGGCUCACAUAGCGCCUCGCGCCGCACCCGGUGCGGAGCUUUCAACGCGACCCCAGGUCAGGCGGGGUUACCCGCUGAAUUUAAGCAUAUCAAUAAGCGGAGGA